rnacentral:rRNA from 1 species
CCUACGGGGGGCAGCAGUCGAGAAUCAUUCACAAUGGGGGAAACCCUGAUGGUGCGACGCCGCGUGGGGGAAUGAAGGUCUUCGGAUUGUAAACCCCUGUCAUGUGGGAGCAAAUUAAAAAGAUAGUACCACAAGAGGAAGAGACGGCUAACUCUGUGCCAGCAGCCGCGGUAAUACAGAGGUCUCAAGCGUUGUUCGGAAACACUGGGCGUAAAGCGUGCGUAGGCUGUUUCGUAAGUCGUGUGUGAAAGGCGCGGGCUCAACCCGCGGACGGCACAUGAUACUGCGAGACUAGAGUAAGGGAGGGGGAACCGGAAUUCUCGGUGUAGCAGUGAAAUGCGUAGAUAUCGAGAGGAACACUCGUGGCGAAGGCGGGUUCCUGGACAUUAACUGACGCUGAGGCACGAAGGCCAGGGGAGCGAAAGGGAUUAGAUACCCGUGUAGUC